ACCCUACCUGCUAUCACCACCCUACCUGCUAUCACCACCUUACUCCCACCAACCCUACCUGCUAUCACCACCUUACUCCCCCCAACCCUACCUGCUAUCACCACCUUACUCCCACCAACCCUACCUGCUAUCACCACCUUACUCCCACCCAACCCUACCUGCUAUCACCACCUUACUCCCCCCAACCCUACCUGCUAUCACCACCUUACUCCCACCCAACCCUACCUGCUAUCACCACCCUUACUCCCCCCAACCCUACCUGCUAUCACCACCUUACUCCCCCCAACCCUACCUGCUAUCACCACCUUACCCCCACCCAACCCUACCUGCUAUCACCACCUUACCUGCUAUCACCACCUUACUCCCCUCAACCCUACCUGCUAUCACCACCUUACCUGCUAUCACCACCUUACCCCCACCCAACCCUACCUGCUAUCACCUUACUCCCCCAACCCUACCUGCUAUCACCACCUUACCCCCACCCAACCCUACCUGCUAUCACCACCUUACCCCCACCCAACCCUACCUGCUAUCACCACCUUACUCCCACCCAACCCUACCUGCUAUCACCACCUUACCCCCACCCAACCCUACCUGCUAUCACCUUACUCCCCCAACCCUACCUGCUAUCACCACCUUACUCCCACCCAACCCUACCUGCUAUCACCACCUUACCCCUACCCAACCCUACCUGCUAUCACCUUACUCCCCCAACCCUACCUGCUAUCACCACCUUACUCCCACCCAACCCUACCUGCUAUCACCACCUUACCCCCAUCCUGACCUGAUGGUCUCUGUCCGAGGGAGGGGUUAUAUCCUGAUCCAUUCUGGUUACAAUGUCAGCUGAUGUUCAUUACGUCUCAACAUGUUAUGGUUCAGGUUAUGAGGCAUGUCCAGGUGUAAACAAGAUGCUGGCUGGAAGGCAGCUGUUUUCCACUUGGAGAGACAGGGGAGCAUGAUGAGAUGACCUCUGUAGGUGUUGAGAGAGGGGAACAUGGUGAGGUGACCUCUAGGUGUUGAGAGAGGGGAACAUGGUGAGGUGACCUCUGUAGGUGUUGAGAGAGGGGAACAUGGUGAGGUGACCUCUGUAGGUGUUGAGAGAGGGGAACAUGGUGAGGUGACCUCUGUAGGUGUUGAGAGAGGGGAACAUGGUGAGGUGACCUCUGUAUGUGUUGAGAGAGGGGAACAUGGUGAGGUGACCUCUGUAGGUGUUGAGAGAGGGGAAUAUGGUGAGAUGACCUCUGUAGUUGUUGAGAGAGGGGAACAUGGUGAGGUGACCUCUAGGUGUUGAGAGCUUCUUCAUUAGGAGCCAGCUGACACUGGCCCUGGGUGUGUCCCAAAUGUCACCCUAUUCCCCAAAUCGUGCACUGUUUUUGACUAAAGCCCUGGUCAAAGUAGUGCACUAUAUAGGGAAUAGGGUGCCAAUCAGGAUGUCUCUCUUUGUCACGGUCACUAUUCCUCCCUUGUUCUUUAGGAAGUGCUGUGGGUGUGGGGUUGUGUGUACACAGAGGGAGACUGGACUGUUUGGUGAUAAAACAUCCUCAGAGACAACAAACACAGUCAGACGCAGGUUUAUUUCUCUAAACCCUUCCAGAUCUAAAUAACACACACAAGCUAAAACACGGCUCGCUCACACAUGUACACUUUUGUGUUAUUCUUAAACCCUGGACCUGUUACACACACACACAACCCGUCCUGAUCAAUAACUCUGUCCAGGUCUCUUCCUCAUGCCUUGCACUAAUGAUUCUCAUGAAUAUAUCUUGUCAUAAUUACAGCCAGUGUGAUAUAUAUAUAUAUAUAAUAUACUGUACAUAGGGUAUUGCAAUGUAUUCUACUUUUUCCAUUUACAGUUGACAGGACUAAUGCUUGCUAGGGAGUUGUCUAGAUAAUCAUUAAACUGUACAGUUAGCAGAAAACAGCUUCAGUGUGGGUUUGGAGUUGUUUUUUUCCCCCCACAAAAAUGUUUAAAUUAUAAUCGAUGGUGGUCUUUAUAAAUGUAAGUGUUAUUAACAAACAAAAAUAUCUUGCAUUUCUUUAGUGGUCUGACUUAUACUUUAUUUCUCAAGAAAAGCUAAAUGAUUAUUUUUUUUGGUUUCUAUUUUUUAACAUUCUCUCUCUCAUUUCACUCAUUUGUGAGUGAUCUAAAGUUAGGAUGCCCUGUCAAGUACUCCUCAUCCCACUAGAACUGAAGUCACACACAAUACACUGUCUGGCUGUUGAAUCCCUGUUGGAGCAAAGCGGAAAGGAUUUGAAAAACAUUUACUUUCCGCUUGUCUUAUAACGUCUCAGUAGGAAUGUAACGACGUUGUGGGAACAAUGUUAACAACCUUAGUAGGAGAAGAAAGACGGCUCUGUUCUACUGUUGGGGUAUUAGCUGGUGGAUCAUGAUGAUGAAUAAAUGGAUUAACUCAUAGGGAUGUACAUUGUAUACAUUUUUGUUGUUGUGGCCACUUAAUUGCAGCCGGAAAAAAUAAAAUAAAUGCAAGCAUUUUACAGUACUGUUAAAUAA